UACGUAGGGUGCAAGCGUUGUCCGGAAUUAUUGGGCGUAAAGAGCUCGUAGGCGGUUUGUCGCGUCUGCUGUGAAAACUCGGGGCUUAACCCCGGGCCUGCAGUGGGUACGGGCAGACUAGAGUGCGGUAGGGGAGACUGGAAUUCCUGGUGUAGCGGUGAAAUGCGCAGAUAUCAGGAGGAACACCGGUGGCGAAGGCGGGUCUCUGGGCCGUAACUGACGCUGAGGAGCGAAAGCAUGGGGAGCGAACAGG
rnacentral:rRNA from 1 species